rnacentral:rRNA from 1 species
UACGGAGGGGGCUAGCGUUAUUCGGAAUUACUGGGCGUAAAGCGCACGUAGGCGGCUUUGUAAGUAAGAGGUGAAAGCCCGGAGCUCAACUCCGGAACUGCCUUUUAGACUGCAUCGCUUGAAUCCAGGAGAGGUGAGUGGAAUUCCGAGUGUAGAGGUGAAAUUCGUAGAUAUUCGGAAGAACACCAGUGGCGAAGGCGACUUACUGGACACAUAUUGACGCUGAGGUGCGAAAGCGUGGGGAGCAAACAGG